AAGGACGGCAGUGGAACUGUACAUUUAUGACCUUACUAAAGGAAUGGCCGCAAUGAUGUCGCAGAUACUCAUUGGGCGGCACGGAGUUACGGGAUCCGCAAAGAGUUGAGAAGCUCGGCGAGACUUACCUGCCCUACUCGGUUUUCCUGGAGUACAUAAACGGUUUAGGGACCUCCACGUUUGCACCGGGCACGUACAAUCUUUUCAAGCAUAACUGUAAUUCCUUCACCGAGGAGGUUAGUAACUUCCUAGUGGGCAAGGGCAUUCCCAAGUAUAUCCUUGAUUUACCAGAAGAAAUAUUACAAACUCCUAUCGGACAGGCUUUAAUUCCGUUGGUAGAAACAUUAAGCAGUAGCUCAAGUGCUGGAUUCACGGUAGGCCAGAGAUUCGUUGAGCCGAGAAUCCAGAGGGAAACUUCACCGGAAUAUCAACUCCUAAAUACAGCUAUCGAAGAAGCAAGAUUGAAUUCAAUCGCGUUAGAGGAACGGAGGAACGUCAUUAACGAGAAAUUAGCGAAGAAAGAUCGAAAGAAGAAAAAGAAGAAAAAGGA
rnacentral:misc_RNA from 1 species